rnacentral:rRNA from 1 species
CUAGUAACUGCGAGUGAAGCGGGAAAAGCUCAAAUUUAAAAUCUGGUGGUCUUUGGCCAUCCGAGUUGUAAUCUAGAGAAGUGUUAUCCGCGCUGGACCGUGUACAAGUCCCCUGGAAUGGGGCGUCAUAGAGGGUGAGAAUCCCGUCUUUGACACGGACUACCAGGGCUUUGUGAUGCACUCUCAAAGAGUCGAGUUGUUUGGGAAUGCAGCUCAAAAUGGGUGGUAAAUUCCAUCUAAAGCUAAAUAUUGGCGAGAGACCGAUAGCGAACAAGUACCGUGAGGGAAAGAUGAAAAGAACUUUGGAAAGAGAGUUAAACAGUACGUGAAAUUGUUGAAAGGGAAACGCUUGAAGUCAGUCGCGUCUGCCAGGGAUCAACCUUACUUUUGUGAGGCGUACUUCCUGGUUGAUGGGUCAGCAUCAGUUUUGGUCGCUGGAUAAAGGUCAGAGAAAUGUGGCACCUUCGGGUGUGUUAUAGUCUUUGAUCAGAUACAGUGGCUGGGACUGAGGAACUCAGCGCCGCAAGGCUGUCUUAGGA